GAUGAACGCUAGCUACAGGCUUAACACAUGCAAGUCGAGGGGAAACGGCAUUGAGUGCUUGCACUCUUUGGACGUCGACCGGCGCACGGGUGAGUAACGCGUAUCCAACCUUCCCAUUACUGUGGGAUAACCUGCCGAAAGGCAGACUAAUACCGCAUAGUCUUCGAUGACGGCAUCAGAUUUGAAGUAAAGAUUUAUCGGUAAUGGAUGGGGAUGCGUCUGAUUAGCUUGUUGGCGGGGUAACGGCCCACCAAGGCGACGAUCAGUAGGGGUUCUGAGAGGAAGGUCCCCCACAUUGGAACUGAGACACGGUUCAAACUCCUACGGGAGGCAGCAGUGAGGAAUAUUGGUCAAUGGACGGAAGUCUGAACCAGCCAAGUAGCGUGCAGGAUGACGGCCCUAUGGGUUGUAAACUGCUUUUGUAUGGGGAUAAAGUUAGGGACGUGUCCCUAUUUGCAGGUACCAUACGAAUAAGGACCGGCUAAUUCCGUGCCAGCAGCCGCGGUAAUACGGAAGGUCCAGGCGUUAUCCGGAUUUAUUGGGUUUAAAGGGAGCGUAGGCUGGAGAUUAAGUGUGUUGUGAAAUGUAGACGCUCAACGUCUGAAUUGCAGCGCAUACUGGUUUCCUUGAGUACGCACAACGUUGGCGGAAUUCGUCGUGUAGCGGUGAAAUGCUUAGAUAUGACGAAGAACUCCGAUUGCGAAGGCAGCUGACGGGAGCGCAACUGACGCUUAAGCUCGAAGGUGCGGGUAUCAAACAGG
rnacentral:rRNA from 1 species